ACGGCAGCGCGGACUUCGGUCUGGCGGCGAGAGGCGAACGGGUGAGUAAUACAUCGGAACGUACCCAGAAGUGGGGGAUAACGCAGCGAAAGUUGCGCUAAUACCGCAUACGUUCUACGGAAGAAAGUGGGGGAUCUUCGGACCUCAUGCUUUUGGAGCGGCCGAUGUCUGAUUAGCUAGUUGGUGGGGUAAAGGCUCACCAAGGCGACGAUCAGUAGCUGGUCUGAGAGGACGACCAGCCACACUGGAACUGAGACACGGCCCAGACUCCUACGGGAGGCAGCAGUGGGGAAUUUUGGACAAUGGGCGCAAGCCUGAUCCAGCAAUGCCGCGUGAGUGAAGAAGGCCUUCGGGUUGUAAAGCUCUUUUGUCAGGGAAGAAACGGCUCCGGCUAAUAUCUGGAGCUAAUGACGGUACCUGAAGAAUAAGCACCGGCUAACUACGUGCCAGCAGCCGCGGUAAUACGUAGGGUGCAAGCGUUAAUCGGAAUUACUGGGCGUAAAGCGUGCGCAGGCGGUUUUGUAAGUCUGUCGUGAAAGCCCCGGGCUCAACCUGGGAAUUGCGAUGGAGACUGCAAGGCUUGAAUCUGGCAGAGGGGGGUAGAAUUCCACGUGUAGCAGUGAAAUGCGUAGAGAUGUGGAGGAACACCGAUGGCGAAGGCAGCCCCCUGGGUCAAGAUUGACGCUCAUGCACGAAAGCGUGGGGAGCAAACAGGAUUAGAUACCCUGGUAGUCCACGCCCUAAACGAUGUCUACUAGUUGUCGGGUUUUAAUUAACUUGGGUAACGCAGCUAACGCGUGAAGUAGA
rnacentral:rRNA from 1 species